GCAAGAGGAAAGGAGACAUUUGCUAAAAAAGAAUGAACUCCUCGAUCGGGUGGAUCAAUGUGUUUAGUAAAAGCCCACAGGGACAAAGACAGAAGAGAGUGAGUGAGAGUAAAGGAAAGCGAGAGAAACAAAGAGGGAGAGCAGAAGAUCCAUUGAGUGUGUUUUUUGUGGCUGAAGAAUCGUCCCCAGUGGCUUUGAAAAGAGGGAUAAUCCUGUCAAGUAAGCAGACCUUUGGAUAUUCAUGACUGGCCGAGCGGCUCCGCGCACUGAAGGAGGACACAGUGAGGAUGGGAUUAAACAUCAAAGUGAAUCUGAGGAGUGCAGGACUGGGACAUGAAUCAACCAAUGCAGAAACACAGAGGUCUCAGAGGGGUGUGCUUGGGGCCAGUUGGGACCAGUUGUUUGAUGGGUGGACAUCACAUUGAUGAGGCCCUCCUCUAUGCCUUUCAAGAGAGUGAUACGGUGUGGUGUGUUCACCUGUCCCCCAAUCUGAGAAACAUAUACACACAUUAGCAUUGAAUUUGGAAACUAAAUAAAUUCUAAUUACUGUCAUCACAGCAACAGUUUGUUGCUGAGGAGGAAAGUUGUGGUGUCAAAAAUGAUUGAGUGAUUAAACACCCCUGUGUUUUGUG